rnacentral:rRNA from 1 species
UACGAAGGGGGCUAGCGUUGUUCGGAAUUACUGGGCGUAAAGCGUGCGCAGGCGGCUUCUCAAGUCAGGGGUGAAAGCCCAGAGCUCAACUCUGGAAUUGCCUUUGAGACUGAGUGGCUUGAGUACGAGAGAGGUGAGUGGAAUUCCCAGUGUAGAGGUGAAAUUCGUAGAUAUUCGCAAGAACACCAGCGGCGAAGGCGGCUCACUGGCCCGGUACUGACGCUGAGAUGCGAAAGCGUGGGGAGCAGACAGG